rnacentral:rRNA from 1 species
AGACCCGAAACCCGGUGAUCUAGCCAUGGGCAGGUUGAAGGUUGGGUAACACUAACUGGAGGACCGAACCGACUAAUGUUGAAAAAUUAGCGGAUGACCUGUGGCUGGGGGUGAAAGGCCAAUCAAACCGGGAGAUAGCUGGUUCUCCCCGAAAGCUAUUUAGGUAGCGCCUCGUGAAUUCAUCUCCGGGGGUAGAGCACUGUUUCGGCUAGGGGGCCAUCCCGGCUUACCAACCCGAUGCAAACUGCGAAUACCGGAGAAUGUUAUCACGGGAGACACACGGCGGGUGCUAACGUCCGUCGUGAAGAGGGAAACAACCCAGACCGCCAGCUAAGGUCCCAAAGUCAUGGUUAAGUGGGAAACGAUGUGGGAAGGCCCAGACAGCCAGGAUGUUGGCUUAGAAGCAGCCAUCAUUUAAAGAAAGCGUAAUAGCUCACUGGUCGAGUCGGCCUGCGCGGAAGAUGUAACGGGGCUAAACCAUGCACCGAAGCUGCGGCAGCGACACUGUGUGUUGUUGGGUAGGGGAGCGUU